CGUGUAGGUGGUUGGGUAAGUCAGAUGUGAAAGCCUUCUGCUUAACAGAAGAAGUGCAUUUGAAACUGUCCGGCUAGAGUACGGGAGAGGAGAGUGGAAUUCCCGGUGUAGAGGUGAAAUUCGUAGAUAUCGGGAGGAACACCAGUGGCGAAGGCGGCUCUCUGGUCCGAUACUGACGCUGAGACGCGAAAGCGUGGGGAGCAAACAGGAUUAGAUACCCUGGUAGUCCACGCCGUAAACGAUGGGCACUAGGUGUAGGAGGUAUUGACCCCUUCUGUGCCGAAGCUAACGCAUUAAGUGCCCCGCCUGGGGAGUACGGCCGCAAGGCUAAA
rnacentral:rRNA from 1 species